rnacentral:lncRNA from 1 species
AGAGGCCGUGGGGGAAAUGGGCGGCGGAGAUUCGCGAUCCUCACAAAGCGGCGAGAGUAUGGCUUGGCACCUUCGACACCGCCGAGGCUGCCGCCAGAGCUUACGAUGAAGCCGCAUUGAGGUUCAGAGGUAACAGAGCCAAACUCAACUUCCCCGAAAACGUUACCGCGGUUCGACCUCCUCACCUUCCCAAUUUUCCCGCCACCGCACUCGCAGGCUCAAGUGAUGUUCCUGCAGUGACAGGCUAUUCUC